GUUCGAUUCUGGCUCAGAUUGAACGCUGGCGGGAUGCUUUACACAUGCAAGUCGAACGGCAGCACGGACUUCGGUCUGGUGGCGAGUGGCGAGCAGGUGAGUAUCCGGAACGUGCCUAGUAGCGGGGGAUAACUACGCAUUUAAGCGUAGCUAAUACCGCAUACGCCCUUCGGGGAAAGCGGGGGACCUUCGGGCCUCACUAUUGAAACGGCCGAUAUCGGAUUAGCUAGUUGGUGGGGUAACGGCUCGCAAGGCGACGAUCGUAGCUGGUUUGAAGGGACACGACCAGCCACACUGGGACUGAGACCUGGCCCAGACUCCUGGGAACGGCAGUGGGAAUUUUGGACAAUGGAAACCCUGAUCCAGCCAUCCCGCGUGUGCGAUGAAGGCCUUCAGGUUGUAAAGCACUUUUGGCAGGAAAGAAACAGCGCAGGAUAAUACCCGUACGAAGCAGUACCUGCAGAAUAAGCACCGGCUAACUACGUGCCAGCAGCCGCGGUAAUACGUAGAGGUGCAAGCGUUAAUCGGAAUUACUGGGCGUAAAGCGUGCGCAGGCAGUUCGGAAAAGAAAGAUGUGAAAUCCCAGAGCUUAACUUUGGAACUGCAUUUUUAACUACCGAGCUAGAGUGUGUCAGAGGGAGGUGGAAUUCCGCGUGUAGCAGUGAAAUGCGUAGAUAUGCGGAGGGAGCACCGAUGGUGAAGGCAGCCUCCUGGGAUAACACUGACGCUCAUGCACAGCAGUGGGGAGCAAACAGGAUUAGAUACCCUGGUAGUCCACGCCCCAAACGAUGUCAACUAGCUGUUGGGGCCUUCGGGCCUUGGUAGCGCAACUAACGCGUGAAGUUGACCGCCUGGGAAUUACAGUCGCAAGAUUAAAACUCAAAGGAAUUGACGGGGACCCACAGCGGUGGAUGAUGUGGAUUAAUUCGAUGCAACGCGAAAAACCUUACCUACCCUUGACAUGUCUGGAAUCCCGAAGAGAUUUAGGAGUGCUCGCAAGAGAACCGGAACACAAGGUGCUGCAUGGCUGUCGUCGGCUCGUGUCGUGAGAUGUUAGGUUAGAAGUCCCGCAACAGAGUGCAACCCUUGUCAUUAGUUGCUACGAAAGGGCACUCUAAUGAGACCGCCGGUGACAAACCGGAGGAAGGUGGGGAUGACGUCGGAUCCCCAUGGCCCUUAUGGGUAGGGCUUCACACGUCAUACAAUGGUCAGGACAGAGGGUCGCCAACCCGCGAGGAGCCAGUCCCAGAAACCCGAUCGUAAAGGUCGGAUCGCAGUCUGCAACUCGACUGCACGUGUAAGAGUCAGAAUCGCUAGUAAUCGCGGAUCGGCAUGUCGCGGUGAAUACGUUCCCGGGUCUUGUACACACCGCCCGUCACACCAUGGGAGUGGGUUUUACCAGAGAUGAUUAGCCUAACCGUAAGGAGGGCGAUUACCACGGUAGGAUUCAUGACUGGGGUGAAGUCGUAACAAGGUAA
rnacentral:rRNA from 1 species